rnacentral:rRNA from 1 species
UACGAGGGGGCUAGCGUUGUUCGGAAUUACUGGGCGUAAAGCGCGCGGAGGCGGUGAUCCAUGUCAGAGGUGAAAGCCCGGGGCUCAACUCCGGAAUUGCCUUUGAAACGGGAUCGCUAGAGUCCGAGAGAGGAUGGCGGAAUUCCUAGUGUAGAGGUGAAAUUCGUAGAUAUUAGGAAGAACACCGGUGGCGAAGGCGGCCAUCUGGCUCGGUACUGACGCUCAGGCGCGAAAGCGUGGGGAGCAAACAGG